GAAAUGCGAUAAUUAAUGUGAAUUGCAGAAUUCAGUGAAUCAUCGAGUCUUUGAACGCACAUUGCGCCCCCUGGUAUUCCGGGGGGCAUGCCUGUCCGAGCGUCAUUGCUGCCCUCAAGCACGGCUUGUGUGUUGGGCUUCCGUCCCUGGCAACGGGGACGGGCCCAAAAGGCAGUGGCGGCAGCAUGUCUGGUCCUCGAGCGUAUGGGGCUUUGUCACCCGCUCCCGUAGGUCCAGCUGGCAGCUAGCCUCGCAACCAAUCUUUUUAACCAGGUUGACCUCGGAUCAGGUAGGGAUACCCGCUGAACUUAAGC
rnacentral:misc_RNA from 1 species